rnacentral:rRNA from 1 species
UAGGGAAUCUUCCACAAUGGACGCAAGUCUGAUGGAGCAACGCCGCGUGAGUGAAGAAGGUCUUCGGAUCGUAAAGCUCUGUUGUUGGUGAAGAAGGAUAGAGGCAGUAACUGGUCUUUAUUUGACGGUAAUCAACCAGAAGGUCACGGCUAACUACGUGCCAGCAGCCGCGGUAAUACGUAGGUGGCAAGCGUUGUCCGGAUUUAUUGGGCGUAAAGCGAGCGCAGGCGGAAUGAUAAGUCUGAUGUGAAAGCCCACGGCUCAACCGUGGAACUGCAUCGGAAACUGUCAUUCUUGAGUGCAGAAGAGGAGAGUGGAACUCCAUGUGUAGCGGUGGAAUGCGUAGAUAUAUGGAAGAACACCAGUGGCGAAGGCGGCUCUCUGGUCUGCAACUGACGCUGAGGCUCGAAAGCAUGGGUAGCGAACAGGAUUAGAUACCCUGGUAGUCCAUGCCGUAAACGAUGAGCGCUGGUGUUGGGGACUUUCCGGUCCUCAGUGCCGCAGCAAAUCGCAUUAAGCGCUCCGCCUGGGGAGUACGACCGCAAGGUUGAAAC